rnacentral:lncRNA from 1 species
GGCGUUCCGCCUCAUUCGCUGAUCAGGUCCGCGAAUUGUCAGCGCGCUCCGGAGACUGCUGAGCCGGGGCGGCCGCCUGGCUUGCGGUGCUCCCUUCGAGGUGCGGGUCAGAUUCAGUGUGUCCUGGCCCGCCGGGGCUUGGGAAACAACCGGUUCGGGGCAACUUGGAACUGAGAACCUGCAGAAGGGGCGUCGGUCUGUGAUCGGGACUCGGCAAGGAGGGUGAGUGGCCGCGCGC